GCCUAGGUUCCGGUUAACGUGUAGACGUCAGCUGUAAGAGAGUAUGAAAUGUUUCAAUGCCUGACACAGCAAAAGAGAAGAGCAAAAUUUAACCAAUGAGCUCUCUCUCCCGAAUCUGGCGGAUACGACUCCCAGCAUGACAUACCAAAACAACUCAUAAAACAGCAUAAAAUAUGUUUUUUGUUUUGGUUGAUAGGAUCGCGGACAGAUCAUUGUUGUGGACUGUCUGAGUUUUUAAAGAAAAGUGUCGGAGGGCGAAGGAUUGCGGCAACAAAAAAAUACGCACUGCUUUACGGUACCUGGUCCCCCGACAACGACCAACCAAGCGGCGGCGGACGUGGUACGGAGGACGCUUCUAGAAACCU
rnacentral:lncRNA from 1 species